rnacentral:lncRNA from 1 species
GUGGUCAUAAACCUUGUGUCAAAAUUUCAUAGAUUUCUUUUUACUUAAACUAGAGUUAUAGUGCGAAAACCAAGAAAAUGCUUGUUUGGGCCCUUUUUGGCCCCUAAUUCCUAAAAUGUUGGGACCAAAACUCCCAAAAUCAAUCCCAACCUUCCUUUUGUGGUCAUAAACCUUGUGUUAAAAUUUCAUAGAUUUCUAUUCACUUUUACUAAAGUUAGAGUGCGAAAACUAAAAGUAUUCAGACGACGACGCCGACGCCGACGCCAAC